CAUUCAUUCAGUGAGAUGUUGGGGGUUACGUUACUCUAUGGUAUUGACAGGUUAGUAAUACAUUCAUUCAGUGAGAGGUUGGGGGUUACGUUACUCUAUGGUAUUGACAGGUUAGUAAUACAUUCAUUCAGUGAGAGGUUGGGGGUUACGUUACUCUAUGGUAUUGACAGGUUAGUAAUACAUUCAUUCAGUGAGAGGUUGGGGGUUACGUUACUCUAUGGUAUUGACAGGUUAGUAAUACAUUCAUUCAGUGAGAUGUUGGGGGUUACGUUACUCUAUGGUAUUGACAGGUUAGUAAUACAUUCAUUCAGUGAGAGGUUGGGGGUUACGUUACUCUAUGGUAUUGACAGGUUAGUAAUACAUUCAUUCAGUGAGAUGUUGGGGGUUACGUUACUCUAUGGUAUUGACAGGUUAGUAAUACAUUCAUUCAGUGAGAGGUUGGGGGUUACGUUACUCUAUGGUAUUGACAGGUUAGUAAUACAUUCAUUCAGUGAGAGGUUGGGGGUUACGUUACUCUAUGGUAUUGACAGGUUAGUAAUACAUUCAUUCAGUGAGAUGUUGGGGGUUACGUUACUCUAUGGUAUUGACAGGUUAGUAAUACAUUCAUUCAGUGAGAGGUUGGGGGUUACGUUACUCUAUGGUAUUGACAGGUUAGUAAUACAUUCAUUCAGUGAGAGGUUGGGGGUUACGUUACUCUAUGGUAUUGACAGGUUAGUAAUACAUUCAUUCAGUGAGAUGUUGGGGGUUACGUUACUCUAUGGUAUUGACAGGUUAGUAAUACAUUCAUUCAG